AACGCACAUUGCGCCCGGUAGUAAUCUGCCGGGCAUGCCUGUCCGAGCGUCAUUUCAGCCCUCGACCCACUAUUCGCGUAGCUGGAUCGGUGUUGGGGCACUACGGUGGAAUACCCGUAGGCUCCGAAAUGAAGUGGCGGUCCCGCCGCGGCGCCCCCAUGCGUAGUAACAUCUCGUCUCGCAUCGGGUCCCGGCGGAGGCCUGCCGUCAAGCCUAUUUAUUCUCAGAAUAGUUUGACCUCGGAUCAGGUAGGGUUACCCGCUGAACUUAA
rnacentral:misc_RNA from 1 species